CCUGGUCCUGCAGCACUUCGGGUGGUGGUUGUUUCCUCGUGUGGUUUGUGAGCACCUGCCACAGACUACACCAGCUUUUCCUGGGACCUCCACUUUGGGAACUCCAUUCAUGGACAGAUAGCAGUAGGAACUCCACCCGUGGAUAUCUGUGCGGUCAAAUGAAACAUUGCCUGGCACAUAAUAGGCAUUCCAUAGCGAGGGAUUCCAUUACCUCUUGCCUGGCUAUAACCAUUCCUGCCAGGGUGCCAGGAGGGAAGGGUAUCGUCUUUCUGAAUACGAGAAGAUGAGUGAAUGAGGUGUCAACAGAUAGGAAAGGAAUGCUGCCCAGCCAGGGCCACUGUGUGAGAUCUGUAUGUCAUGCGCCACCUGCACGGCUCUCCCUAGUGGCCCGGGGUCCAGCAGGUGUUGGUGGGCUCUCUCUGUAUUUUAGGCCUCACAUCUGCCUGUUCGGAUAUGUUUUCUCCAUCAUGAAAAAAUAGCCCUGAACUUCCGUUUGGACCAACCUUAGCCAUGUGCUUACCCCGGAAGAAGGACUGUGACUGAGGAACUGCCGUCAAGGCAGGAGGGAUGAAGUUAUGCCUGAGUCAAUCAGCGGAACUUUCUGGGAGCGGUGGUGGUUUAUGUCAGUCCCGCUGAGGUCACCUGUGUGCUACGUAAUGGAGGGGUCACAUGGAUCCUGGAGAAGAAACCAGUAAAGUCAACCAUGGAGAUGGAGAAAGCCAUCCUCCUAACAGGUUUUGUUGAUGGCAGUGAAGACCUGCUCAGGAGUAACCUAUGGACCAAAAAGGGAUGCUGGACAUCUCGGCAGAUGUGAGGAUCUGUUGAUCAUGAUCAAGCGCUAGAUUGUAUACCCCUCCCGUCCCUGACACCUUGGUAUUAUUUCCCAUGUGGGACUUAGAUACAGAUGCGGAGAAAGAGGGGUGCCCAGCAUUUACUAAACUUAAGUGUCUGCUGCUUCAGCAUAGUGAGAACUUGGGAGAAGAACUUAAAAUAGAAAAUAAGGUUGCAUUUCUUAGCCAUCAGAGUUUACCG
rnacentral:lncRNA from 1 species